rnacentral:rRNA from 1 species
CUCCGGGCUUUGUUUGCGCAGGAUAGGUGGGAGGCGUUGAAGAUUUUCUUGCGGGGAGAUUGGAGCCGUUGGUGAGAUACCACUCUAACAAUGCUAGGAUUCUAACCCUAUACCGUUAUCCGGUUAGGGGACAGUUUCAGGUGGUCAGUUUGACUGGGGCGGUCGCCUCCCAAAAGGUAACGGAGGCGUGCAAAGGUUUCCUCAGGCUGGUUGGAAAUCAGUCGUAGAGUGUAAAGGCAUAAGGAAGCUUGAUUGUGAGACCUACAAGUCGAACAAAGACGAAAGUCGGCCUUAGUGAUCCGACGGUUCCGAGUGGAAGGGCCGUCGCUCAACGGAUAAAAGUUACUCUAGGGAUAACAGGCUGA